AACAAACACCGAAUCACAUCCGAGCACAGCUGUAAUCCCCCCAUCAACUGAGGGAUCCAAACAACUCUGAACA
rnacentral:tRNA from 1 species